UGCUGACAAAUGUUAAAUAUCAGCUCAAACACCUCAACGACAGGAAGCUCUAUCAUCAGCUUGCUCUGCACCACUGUGGUGUGUGUGCGCGCGUGUGUGUGUGUGUGAGUGAUGCCUUUGCAAAUGAUGUGCCUUCGUUAAGGUGGGAAGGCAGACUGUGACGUGACUUACAAAGCCUUACACACUUUAGCAGCACAUGUUUUUCGAUACACGCCGAAGCUUUACAGAUCUUGUCGGUUUGUCUGUAAUCUUGGUUUUGUUGCUCUGUGGCAAAAUGUGUUCUUCAUAAAAUCUAAAGCUAAAGACAUGACAAUGCUUGCUGAACUGGCCCGUCACUAACAUCAGCAACUUCUGUCAACAGAAAAGCAAAUAUGGGGAACUGUGGCUCUUUUGAUCCUGAUGACGAAUUCUCCUACCAUCCAGAUGAAUUUUGCGAUAAAUGUAACUGCCCAAAGCCUCCAUCCAGUCAAAUACAGCAAAACUAUGAUCCUCUGAUUCCUUAUCCAUCCCAGUACACACCUCAACCAUCAUCUCUCU